rnacentral:lncRNA from 1 species
AGGUUCCUCACAGGAACCCGGAGGAAACCUGAGCGCACAUCGCUCGUUACCUAAUCCCUGCCUCCUUCGGGGCUUCCCUGGAGCUUCCGCCGCCGGCGGCGCCUCCGCGGCUGCCGGAGGGUGCGCGGGGCCGGGGUGAGCCCCGCCGUGAGGGGACGCCGCUGUCCCGCCCGAGCCGCGGCCAGGAGCAGCCUCGGAGACAGAGUUUGACAUCGGAGAGUGUUUGCGUGAGGGGAACUAGCCAUGAAAAAGGAAGAGGUGAGUCACAAGCCCCGGGAGGAUGUAUAUCAAUGCAAGUAUCACAAAGCCGUUUUAACUUCAUUAUCAGUUGUUUUUCACUCAGAAUCCAGAGGCAGUUGGAAUUUCUAAGAAACUACAAUCCAGCAGUGUUUGAACAGGCCUUGGGGAGGUGACCUGAAUUGUAUGGAGGGCAAAAAGAAGUGCUUUUUAAUUAUUUGUAGCCUUUGGAAGUGACUCCUGUGGACUGACAAACAGAAGACAGGUAGGGUCAUGAAGAAUUCUUUGGCAAUAUUUAACAUACAUGAUACAUGAUCUGAUACCAUACAAAUUAGUUUAACAACAAAAAUCCAAUGGUAAAUGGAUUUUUAGCCAGGUUCCCUCUUCACACUAGAGAUCUUUCUUUAAAAAGUAGAGCGUUUUCAGUAAACCUGAAUUAAUGGUAGCAGCUGCAUUCAGUUUUAAUAAUUCCAGUUGCUUAAGACUAAAGACAGAAUUUGUAAGGAAUAGAGCAAGAGGACUCUUGCUGACAGAGUCAACAUCCAUCACACUGCAGUUCAUUUUCUUAGGUUCAGUCUGGUCAACUGCAGCUUUGAAAAGCUAAGUAACUUCUGUCACCACAGUUUUACUGGCUCCUUGACCAUAAUAAGGAUUUUUUGGGGUGUUUCUAAACACCAAAGUCAUUCUCUCUUUUUCUUUCUCUUAUUUUUUUUUUUUAAUUUUUUGAGGUCAAGUCAGAUUUUCCAGAUUAAUAGUCAAAGAUUAUUCUGAAAUAUCCCCAUCCAUUGCAAAACACAGGAUUUUGGGCCUGAAUCCCACUUCCAGCUGUCAUGGAAAUUUCCAGUCCCAUCCCAAAGGAAAAUUCCAUUUUCAGCCUUCCAUUCAGACCCCUGUUUAGGAAAGGUUGUGCUUUGAAUUAGUGUCUCUCUCAAAACCCAUUGAUGAAGCUCAUUCUAACUUCUUUCAACAGCCUCAAACCCUAUGCUUUAACCACAAAUACUUGUGUUCAUUUCACAAAUUAAUGAAUGAAUGGCUUUUAAAGAGAUAGAUUUAUGUGACGGAACACAUUUACUAUCAAAAGUGUAGUAAGGAGUAAGUUUAUCUAGUAAAAAAAAAAAAAGUGUUAUAAUCUCUUAUUGACACUCUGCACUUUAUAGACAUUAUAUUCUUGCUAAGGAGACAACGUGUUCUUUAGCCCAAAACAUUUUAAUUUAGUAACAUAUAUGAUACAAAAAGAAUUACUAAGCGAGUGUAGUUGUAACUGUGUUGCUAAAAUUGCAGCAGUUCACACUAAAUAAAUUAAGAGUAUUAGAGGGAUAUGUGUCAGAAAUUUAAACCUCCAAAAUAAUGGAGGCUGAACAAGUAUUCAAACGCAUAUUCAUGACCUUUGAGAAAAACAUCCAGACCCAAUUAAAACCAUUUGUUAAGGUCUGUAGGGUUUCUUUUUUACUUUACUACUAUAUAUGUUAUAAAAUAUUUUAAACAUUCCCCCUUCUCAUUGUUUGAAACUUAAAUGUGAUUUUUUUUUUUUUUUUUUAAUAUUCCAAUGUGUCUUUGGCUCCAUUUAAAUCAAUGGCAAGUAAUUAUUGUAAAAAUGAGCAGUAUUAGUAUAAUUCUUGAAGUCUGACUUAGUAAAAUACAGACUUUUCUAUGCAUUAUUUUGGCACAUAAUCUAACAUUUUUACUGCUUGUGUGAUGAUGGAACUAUUGGUUUUAAUGCCAUUUAUUAUUUCAAUAGAUGGAGUUCAAACUGUGUAGAGCUCAGGCUCUCUAAUAGAUAGCAAGUGGAUAUUGUAGGAAUAUUUCUUGCUUGUGGGAAGCAAGACAGGAGCUGACAGUUUAACAGUGGGUGCAUUUGUGGGUGAAAUUCAGUACUGGGAAAGGGGCCAGUUCCCGGUGAUUUCA